rnacentral:rRNA from 1 species
CCUACGGGAGGCAGCAGUGGGGAAUAUUGCACAAUGGGGGAAACCCUGAUGCAGCGACGCCGCGUGAGUGAAGAAGUAAUUCGUUAUGUAAAGCUCUAUCAGCAGGGAAGAAAAUGACGGUACCUGAGCAAGAAGCCCCGGCUAACUACGUGCCAGCAGCCGCGGUAAUACGCAGGGGGCAAGCGUUAUCCGGAUUUACUGGGGGUAAAGGGAGCGUAGAGGGCAGUGCAAGUCUGGAGUGAAAGGCGGGGGCACAACCCCCGGACUGCUCUGGAAACUGUACGGCUCGAGUGCAGGAGAGGUAAGUGGAAUUCCUGGUGUAGCGGUGAAAUGCGUAGAUAUUAGGAAGAACUCCAGUGGCGAAGGCGGCUUACUGGACUGUAACUGACGUUGAGGCUCGAAAGCGUGGGGAGCGAACAGGAUUAGAUACCCGUGUAGUC